rnacentral:rRNA from 1 species
UACGUAGGGUGCGAGCGUUAAUCGGAAUUACUGGGCGUAAAGUGUGCGCAGGCGGCCGCGCAAGUCGAGUGUGAAAGCCCCGGGCUUAACUUGGGAAUUGCGCUCGAAACUACGUGGCUGGAGUGUGGCAGAGGAAGGUGGAAUUGCAGGUGUAGCGGUGAAAUGCGUAGAGAUGUGGAGGAACACCAAUGGCGAAGGCAGCCUUCUGGGCCAACACUGACGCUCAUGCACGAAAGCGUGGGGAGCAAACAGG